rnacentral:rRNA from 1 species
GACGAACGCUGGCGGCGUGCUUAACACAUGCAAGUCGAACGGUAAGGCCCUUCGGGGUACACGAGUGGCGAACGGGUGAGUAACACGUGGGUGAUCUGCCCUGCACUUUGGGAUAAGCCUGGGAAACUGGGUCUAAUACCGAAUAGGAUCAUGGCCUUCAGGGGUUGUGGUGGAAAGCUUUUGCGGUGUGGGAUGGGCCCGCGGCCUAUCAGCUUGUUGGUGGGGUAAUGGCCUACCAAGGCGACGACGGGUAGCCGGCCUGAGAGGGUGUCCGGCCACACCGGAACUGGGAGGCUGCCCAGACUCCUACCGGAGGCAGCUGUGGGGAAGAUUGCACAAUGGGCGCAAGCCUGAUGCAGCGACGCCGCGUGGGGGAUGACGGCCUUCGGGUUGUAAACCUCUUUCAGUAGGGACGAAGCGUAAGUGACGGUACCUACAGAAGAAGCACCGGCCAACUACGUGCCAGCCGCCGCAGUAA